UGAAGGAAAGGUGUGGAAAUAUGAAUGGGCAGCACCCAACACAAACAGCCCUCCAACAUCCAGUGAAUACAGGAUCAGCAGAGUUUCAGUGUCCCACAGUGGAGACUACAGAUGUCGGGGUAGCAGUGACUAUCUCUUAACAGGAUGGAGUGAUGCCUUCAGACUGACAGUUUCAUCAAGUAAACCCAGAGCCA